UUAAUUAAAACCAAAUAGAGGUAAAUUAUUGUUAAUAAUUUCAUUGAAUAAUUUAUUCUAAUUAAA
rnacentral:tRNA from 1 species